rnacentral:rRNA from 1 species
GAUGAACGCUGGCGGCGUGCCUAAUACAUGCGAGUCGAGCGAACAGACGAGGAGCUUGCUCCUCCGACGUUAGCGGCGGACGGGUGAGUAACACGUGGAUAACCUACCUAUAAGACUGGGAUAACUUCGGGAAACCGGAGCUAAUACCGGAUAAUAUAUUGAACCGCAUGGUUCAAUAGUGAAAGACGGUUUUGCUGUCACUUAUAGAUGGAUCCGCGCCGCAUUAGCUAGUUGGUAAGGUAACGGCUUACCAAGGCGACGAUGCGUAGCCGACCUGAGAGGGUGAUCGGCCACACUGGAACUGAGACACGGUCCAGACUCCUACGGGAGGCAGCAGUAGGGAAUCUUCCGCAAUGGGCGAAAGCCUGACGGAGCAACGCCGCGUGAGUGAUGAAGGUCUUCGGAUCGUAAAACUCUGUUAUUAGGGAAGAACAAAUGUGUAAGUAACUAUGCACGUCUUGACGGUACCUAAUCAGAAAGCCACGGCUAACUACGUG